ACUUCACUUCAUCUUCCUUCUCUGUAUUCAAUUCUCAUUAUAUCCCCAAGGCCCAAACAAAAGUCUUAGUUAGGAGACAGAAGCUACAAUGAGAAGAAGGUGAACCAGCUGCGUAAUCUGUACACCCACUACACCAAUUGUUACUGCUCAUUCAUACCUCAUUCACUACACCAAUUUAAUUCCCAGAUACGUUUCAUACCAGCAACUAUUUAGCAUCGAACCCAUCAUGGAACUGGGUACUCAUUUGCAGUUUGAUUUGGCUUCACUCAGGUCCUCCCCACGGCUCCUUAAUUUCAUACACCUGCAACCGGAAUCCUCAUAUCUAAGGAGUAGAUCUAAAAAUAGAGAAUUGUCUUGGGCUAACUCGUGCUCUUUUCAAAUGUUUAAAGUCCUGUGCUGCUGUUGUGUUUUGUUGCUGCCCCUGUCUUGGGGUGGUGUUGUUUAUAAAAAUAACUUUCAAAAAAAAAGGAUACAGUUAGUUCUAGAAGACAGCACUUAAGAUCAUGCUCGCAAAACGGAUAUCUAUACAUUAUCAUCAUUUUAAGAUGGUAAAUAAAAGAUUUCGUUACCUUUGCUAUAUUUGUCGCAGUGGCUGCAAAAUGUUUAUAAUUCUUGCCUCCAAAUCAUAGUGGUUCCCUGUUAUUAUCUUAGUGUAAAUUCAUGUGUAUGUAUGCAGUAAAUUCAUUUUAAUAUUGAAACACAUGUAUUACUCUUUUUGGUUUAAGAUAAUAUAAUUUUUUUGUUAACAUAGGUAUGAAUAUUAAAUUACCCCAGCUCGAUAUUGACCCGUUUGAACCAUACAGUUUGGUUCAGCUGGAAACCACUGGGUUGCAUACCUGGUAGGGUGAAAUGGGUUAUUACUACGUUUUAAAUAGCCCAGCGUUUAAUAUAUUCAACGUUACUUAGGCCAUUUCACUUCCGUUUAGCUGUAAGGUUACACCCAGCUCUUGUAUUUUACCCCUAUUUUCCCCCAGCUCAAUA